rnacentral:ncRNA from 1 species
UUUUUAAAAGUUUUAUUCUUGCUUGUUUAUUCACUUUUUCUUUGUAUUAUAUGUAAGUUUUGUUAGACUAAAUGUUCUUUUUGCAGUAAUUUGAUUUAAUUAUCAAGUGAUUUUGGAUUUAGCAAUUGAUUUAGUAUCGGCAUAAUUCGUGCCAGCAGCCGCGGUUAUACGAUUGAUACAAGUGAAUAUUAUUGGUUAAAACAGUUGUUUAUAUUAUUAGGGUUGAAAUAUAAAUUUGUAAGGUGAAAUGUUAAAAUUUAUUUGUGGCCCUUUUUAUGAAUCUGUGAAAUUUAAAUAAUAAACUAGGAUUAGAUACCCUAUUAUUUUAAAUGUUAAUUAUAUUUACCAGGGUACUAUUAGUUAAGGUCUUUAAACCCAAAGAAUUUGGCGGUAUCUCAUUCCAUUCAGAGGAACCUACCCCAUGAUUGAUAAUACACGAUUUACUCUACUUAAUUUAUUUGUUUGUAUAUCUCCGUUAUCAGAGAAUCUUUUUAGAGUUAUAAUUCUCAAGAUUUAUAAUUAUAAAAUAUUUCAGGUCAAGGUGCAGCUUAUAGUUAAGAGGAGGUGGGUUACAAUAGAUUUUUGUUUAUAACGGAUUUGAUAGUGAAAUACUGUUAAUGAAGGUGGAUUUGAUAGUAAUUUAAUUUAUUUAAUUUAACUGAUAUGGCUCUGAGAUGUGUGGCUCUGAGAUGUGUACACAUCGCCCGUCGCUCUCAUUAUUGAUUAUUCUAUUUUAUUUUUAAGUAGCUUCAAUUUAGAUGAGAUAAGUCGUAACAUAGUAGAUGUACUGGAAAGUGUAUCUAGGAAGAGUUU